UAGAGGGGAAGAAACUGGUGUUUCAAUUGGUCUUCAACACCAAUAGCGGGCGGAUAAAACCGUCUGUGGCAGGUUCGAUUCUUGCUCCCUC
rnacentral:tRNA from 1 species